rnacentral:lncRNA from 1 species
GUACUCCUUCUACAAAGGUUCAAAUAGAGAAAGCGUUUCCAUAUCUGUCGGGUGCCUGAUAGGUUUUCAGUGGGGAGAUGGCAGUUGUGCAGUGAGGAUUAUUUUAUCUACAUGUAAUGUAGGAUAUGAGAGUGUAAGAAGUUAAGGGAAGGAGCAAGGCACGUGAGGGGCUGAGAUCGGGUGAGCUGUGCAGUGUUGCAGCACUUGCCAGAGCUGGCUCCUUCUUCUGUUUCAUUUUUUCAAUAUUUUAGUAUUUAACAAAGGAAACAAAGAAAUUCAAAGAUGUCAGACUUAGAUCAAGAGUAGGCCUGGCUUGCUGACCCUGUUCUCCAGUCUUUAAAGUGUUCUUUGUGGAAUCAGAACAGUGGGCCUGCAGUGCGAUCCCUGUGGCUGGUCACUCUCUGUGGGGAAUGAAACAUGAGAUGGCCAUGCCCAGGAUCUUCACUCUUCUGAAUGACUGUCAAAUGUCCAGGGAUGAUCAACAGGCAACAGCAGGCCCUGUUCUUUGGAAGAAGGCCACAAUUUGUAGAUUGACAGACAGCAGAAAGAUCUUAAAUACAAACUCAAGUGUGAAGCCUGUUCUGGGCCAUUUGUUCCUACUGCAUCUGCCUGGGUCACAAAGUGGGACAGGGGGGAGCUGCUGUGUUCCAGCAGCAUUCAUAGUUCAGUGUUUAAGAGAGAAAAUAUUUUCAGCUCUGCACAGAGCCUCCAUUUUGCCUGUUUGCUGUCUCCUGCUGCUUCUGUUCUCAGUGGCCAUACCCAUACCCACUUCCCUAUGUGAAUACUUGCUGAAGCCUGCUAGGCUGGCUGUGCUGCUCUCUCUCCCCUCACCCUUCCCUCUCUGUCCAAACCAAUUAUAACCACUGGUUCUUUAGUGAUCAUUUUCCUCCUUUCUUCCUUCCUUUCCCUUCAGGCAUCCAGGCACAAGGAAUAUCUAAGAGUUGUAAUGACCUGGGAGGGUGCUGAGCUGGGGCUUUGGGAACUACGGACAUGGAUUACUAAUUUGGAGACGCAGCUAAGCACUGUUACUUAAGAGAAUUCCAAUUCAGAUCUCUUGUGCUCUGUGUUGCUGCUUAUAUGUAAGGUUGGUAAAAAUGGGGAACUUGUGGGAGCCAGAGUGAUUGUGUACAAAUACUGCUGCAGCUGGAGAAGCAGGGACCAAGCUGUCUCUUUUUUUCUGUUUUGCUUCUUCUCUA